rnacentral:rRNA from 1 species
UUGAAAAGAACUUUGAAGAGAGAGUUCAAGAGUACGUGAAACCGUUCAGGGGUAAACCUAAGAAACCCAAAAGAUCGAACGGGGAGAUUCAUCGUCAGCGGCGCUGGCUUCGCGUCGGUGGGCGAUGUCCCGCGGAGUCCUCGCGGCUCGCGCGCGGGCACGCUACCGUGCGUCGAUGUCCGGCUGUCGUCGUCGUGCACUUCUCCCCAAGUAGAACGUCGCGACCCGCUGGGUGUCGGUCUACGGCCCGGGUGCGGUGACUGUCGCGUCGCCGGUAAAACGGCACGCGACAAACCCCCGGUCGCCCGGCCGGCUGCUCGGCGGUACGCGCAAGGUAUCAGGCCGCACUUCUACACGGUGCGUCGAGGCCGUCGCAAGCGCGCGCCACGGUACUCGGAGGUUACGGACUUUGCGCCGUCCCCGGUCCUGGCCCGCUGUUGGUUAAAGUACGGAUCACCUUCGACAGGCCUGCUAACGUCUCCCUCACGGGGGACGGAUACCGGUCGGCGACGCUACUGCUUUGGGUACUCUUAGGACCCGUCUUGAAACACGGACCAAGGAGUCUAACAUGUACGCGAGUCAUUGGGACUUGUCGCGAGACCUAAAGGCGUAAUGAAAGUGAAGGUCGGCCCUGGCCGUCGACCGAGGGAGGAUGGGCCGCGUCGCGAUGCGGCCUCGCACUCCCGGGGCGUCUCGUUCUCAACGCGAGAAGAGGCGCACCCAGAGCGUACACGUUGGGACCCGAAAGAUGGUGAACUAUGCCUGGUCAGGACGAAGUCAGGGGAAACCCUGAUGGAGGUCCGUAGCGAUUCUGACGUGCAAAUCGAUCGUCGGAACUGGGUAUAGGGGCGAAAGACUAAUCGAACCAUCUAGUAGCUGGUUCCCUCCGAAGUUUCCCUCAGGAUAGCUGGCACUCGGCCGUUCCGCACGGAACGCGCGCGAGUCUCAUCUGGUAAAGCGAAUGAUUAGAGGCCUUGGGGCCGAAACGACCUCAACCUAUUCUCAAACUUUAAAUGGGUGAGAUCUCUGGCUUUCUUGAAUUAUGAAGCCACGAGCAUCUUCGGAUCAGAGUGCCAAGUGGGCCAUUUUUGGUAAGCAGAACUGGCGCUGUGGGAUGAACCAAACGCAGAGUUAAGGCGCCCAACUCGACGCUCAUGGGACACCAUGAAAGGCGUUGGUUGCUUAAGACAGCAGGACGGUGGCCAUGGAAGUCGGAAUCCGCUAAGGAGUGUGUAACAACUCACCUGCCGAAGCAACUAGCCCUGAAAAUGGAUGGCGCUGAAGCGUCGAGCCUAUACUCUGCCGUCAGCGGCAAGUGGGGCGGCGACGGGAGCGUUGCGCGCGUCGGGCUUGCGUUUGCGGCUCUCUCGCGAUGCAAUCGUCUCCCUCGAGUCGUCACGAAGCCCUGACGAGUAGGAGGGUCGCGACGGUGAGCGCAGAAGGGUCU